rnacentral:tRNA from 1 species
GAUUAGUUCAGCUGGAUAGAAUGUCUGCCUACGGAGCAGAUGGUCGUAGGUUCGAAUCCUGCAUCG